rnacentral:rRNA from 1 species
UAUUGCGCAAUGGGCGAAAGCCUGACGCAGCGACGCCGCGUGAGGGAUGAAGGUUUUCGGAUCGUACACCUCUGUCAGAAGGGCAGAAAGUGCGUGGGGCUAAUCAGCCGCGUAUUGACGGUCCCUUCAAAGGAAGCACCGGCUAACUCCGUGCCAGCAGACGCGGUCAUACGGAGGGUGCGAGCGUUAACCGGAAUUACUGGGCGUAAAGCGCACGUAGGCUGUUGUGUAAGUCAGGGGUGAAAUCCCACGGCUCAACCGUGGAACUGCCCUUGAUACUGCAUGACUGGAAUCCGGGAGAGGGUGGCGGAAUUCCAGGUGUAGGAGUGAAAUCCGUAGAUAUCUGGAGGAACAUCAGUGGCGAAGGCGGCCACCUGGACCGGUAUUGACGCUGAGGUGCGAAAGCGUGGGGAGCAAACAGG